UGGGACCUAAUCCCCGCUUGGUCACUUAGUAGCCAUGUGGCCUCAGUUCCCCUAGCUUUAACUUCCCCUUCUGUAAGAGUAGGGAGGCCAUCGGCCCCUCCCCUAUGCUGUGGGGAUGUAAGUGACGUCAGAGAAGUGAAAACAAUUCAUGGUGUCUGAUACAUAGUAGGUGCUCUCGACAUUAGAGGUGGAGACUGACAGUUCCAUCGAUGAUGACACGCAGGACAUAAAAGCCACAGGGAGGGACAAACAAGCCAGGAAAGGAGAGGGUUUAGAAGGCGGGGCAGUCCUGGUGUUGAGAAUGGGGCUCCCUGAGCCCAGAAGACCCGCUCAAGGCACAGCGGACGUGGAACACGAUAGGAGUAUUCCUGAAAACACCAGAAAACGUUUCCUUUGAAGGGAGUAAAAUUUAGGAAUACAUGGGCAAUAGAGUGUAUUCCAAUUCAACUGCGUCUGGGGUGCCACAGAGUUGACUAUCUGCAUCUCCACAUCUAGCUGCUGAGUUCUACUAAGAAGAAAGAGAAAGAAACAAAACCAGAUGGUCACUGCGGAGCACUGCUUCCCACAGGCCUGCGUGUGGGACAGCGCCUAAGACUGUGUUUCCUUCAAAGCAUUUGUCAUUGCACACCACGUCCUUUGUAACCAGUGGUAGUAAGUUCUCCUGUGACUGAGGCCAAGCUGGUGCUGCUGUUGACAGAGUUAGUAUAUGCAAAUGAUCCUCUAGGAUGCAGAGUGUCCUAGGGCAAAAGGGCCAGGAUGCCCUUCUGCCUCAAGCCUUCCUUAGGGACAACAGAACCUGACCAUGUUCCUUCCAGAGUUCAAGUGUGGCCUUGGGCUUUUGUUUGGGGGUCACUGGGAAGUUCCAGAAUUCAAGCUGUGACCAAGAAAAAGAGGCUGAAGGCAGGUCAGCAGGUGAUGAGCGAAAGGAUUGUGCCAACGAGGCCUGGCAUCGGGUCUUAACUACUUAAAGAUUACAGAAAAGAGAGACAGAGUGGGAAGACAGGUGAGGCCAGUCCCUCCGAGAGCCUGGGUUGCUAAGACUUGAACAAAGGAGACCAGAGCAGUGGCCUGAGGGAAGGAACUUGGCAACGUCACCAUGUUAGGUCCAUUGAAGCAGUGUGAGUGUCAUUCCAUGUAACUAACUAAUUCAGAAGGAAAUGGCCCCGGCUGGGUAGCUCAGUUGGUUAGAGCAUUGUCCCAAUAUCUCCAGGUUUGAUCCCUGGUCAGGGCACAUACAAGAAUCAACCAAUGAAUGCAUAACUAAGUGGAACAAUGAAUCGAAGUUUCUCUCGCCCUCUCUAAAAAUCAAUAAAUUAAAAAAGAGAAAGAAAAAUGAAGCAAGAUGCUAGGGCAUUGUUUAAAAAAAAAAGAAGGAAAUGCGUGAAAAGAUUUGCCAAGCUUAUUGACUAUGAUGGCAGAACAGAAGAGCAACUGACCAAUAAUACCAUUUGCUUGUUUUCAUAGCCCUUUAAUCUUGCUUUGUGAGGUUAUUAUGUUCUUUCAUGUUAUAAGUCUUAUCUUCAAGCGGGAACACUCAGAGACCCAGAUUCUCAUCUCCUGUGCCCUGUUUACUGGGCCAACAUUGUAGCUGGCUGAAAAUCAACUCCUGUUUGGUCCUGGGAAAUAAGUUUCAAGAAAAUAAGAGCUGCAAACGCCCCUGUGGUUUCCGUUUCUAUGUGUAGCCGUUUACUCCCUGGCGGGCACCACAGCGGGAAGAAUGCCUCCGGGAUGGAAGGCUCAUCAGCGACAUUUCUCCACCCUGCGGGAACGACAGAACAUCGGCUCUUCCUUGGCUGAGCUCGCCCACACUUUUCAGAGUAAAAUGAGACUGUUUCAAGGCCUUUCUUGGUCAGAGAUUUUACGUAUCUAAGGAUGGUAUGUGUCUCGAGCUCUGCUUUUUAUUGGACGUGGCCGACCCAAGCACACGGCUAGCAGUUUUCAUAGAAACACCAGAGAAUGAGCUUUACUUUUGGUUACCUGGACGUUGCCUUCUCCCGAUCGGCAAGGGAGAUAAACGCUCAUCGCCGAAGACACUCGUGUUAGACUGUUAGGCUGAUGGGUUGGAAUGGAGCGAACAUCUGAGGUGUUGAAGAGUCGCUCAUUAAAAUAACCCUGUUACUAACAGUCAUGCUGUAAACCAAGCUCUUUAUAGAUUGAGCAAUCAAUACUACAAGGCUGUGAUAGAUUUUCUAGGUAACAGAAUAAAAUAAAAGAAAUUACAUCUUACAGGGUCAUUAACACCCAAUAAGGAUAAACUGAAUUCCUUUUUUUCCCCUCCUUCUGAUACGAUCUGGUUGGGCUUUAAAGAUGUUAGCAAUUCCAUUAGCAGAAAGCACAGCAUCUUGGGAACAAAAUCCCUGGAAUGGUAGGGGAGAUGAACUUUAAAGGUAGGCUUGCUAACCACAGUAUCUUUUAGGAGAAAAGAUUCUGCCCCCCUCUCAAAAGGCAUGUGUCACCUGAGAAAAACUAAGUGAGCCAAACUUGUGUAGCUUGUCUAUUACAUAAGAAUUCA